rnacentral:rRNA from 1 species
UACGUAGGUGGCAAGCGUUUGUCCGGAUUUACUGGGCGUAAAGAGCGCGCAGGCGGUUGAUUAAGUCGAAUGUGAAAGCCCCCGGCUCAACUGGGGAGGGUCAUUCGAUACUGAUCGACUUGAAGGCAGGAGAGGGUAGUGGAAUUCCCGGUGUGAGUGGUGAAAUGCGCAGAUAUCAGGAGGAACACCAAUGGCGAAGGCAGCUCGCUGGGACGUGACUGACGCUGAGAACGCGAAAGCUAGGGGAGCGAACAGGAUAGAA